AAAGGACAAGGGAGGCAUGGGCUCCGAGAUUUACGCUGCAUUAAUCUAGCCCUUCUCGCUAAACAAUGUUGGCAUCUCUUGUGUGAGCCUGAGUCACUAUGUGUUAUAGUGCUUAGAGAGAAAUAUUUUCCUAAUGGGGAUCUUCUGAAAUGCUGCCUGAAGAAAGGCAGCUCAUAUACUUGGUAGAGUCUUUGGAGUGGAAUAGAAUGUUUGGAAAGAGGGCACAUAUGGAGAGUCGGUGACGGGUCCUAGAUUAACAUUUCAGAAGACCCUUGGAUACCCAGCAGCCCUACACACGGAGUUAUCACACCAAGAGGUAACAUAGUGGUUACAAAAGUUUCUGAACUUGUUGAUAUUGAUAAUAGAGUGUGGGAUGAGCAUCUGCUUAGGGAUUUAUUUUGGCCAGUUGAAGUGCAACAAAUUAUGAAUAUUCCAUUAGCUUUGGGGGUGAUGGAAGAUUUUGUGUCAUGGCAUCUUAAUAGGAGUGGUGUUUUCUCUAUAAGAUCGGCAUAUCUUGAAGAAUCUUCCCAUCAACACAGAAGAAAGUUGAGGAUGACAAAUUCAAUUCAAGCCUCAAGUACUAGUCCAGUUUGGCCUGCCAUUGAGAAGUUGUGUGUGCAAUCAAAAAUUAAAAUUCAUGUUUGGAGAACUUUGCUUGGAGCAAUCCCCUACAAGGGUGUCUUAGCUAACCGACAUGUAACCUUCACACAAUGCCCCCUGUGUAUUUCAGGUUGUGAAAGUAUUCAGCAUGCUAUGUUUCUAUGCACGAGAGGGGAUUUGGCUGAUCCUGGGAAUGCAUGA
rnacentral:rRNA from 1 species